AGAGAGGUAGUAUAAAUUUAUUACGUUAAGCUUAUUACUUAAAGAUCUUCUCAAGCCUUUCCA
rnacentral:tRNA from 1 species